GUGCCCGCGUCGCACACGCGCAGAUCGCUCUUCUUCACUGACGCGUCUGCCGAAAGAAAAGGCGUCAAACGGCAACCGCUCCUUCCAGGUGGACUCGUGACCUCAUUACAAAUGAAGGCCACGCUCACACAGGAAAUGGACAUUCCCACCACCACGGGCGUGUCUCCUCAACAUUUGCAUGAAGCCACGUGAGUAACACGCACGCUCACAUAUUUCCCCAUAUUCACUGAGCACCCCAUGUAUCAGUCAAACACCCCUGGAGAGAAGUAAAAACUGGAGCCAUUCCUAGGAAUUGACCUAAUGUCACACACACACACACACACACGCACGCACACACACGCACACUCUCGCGUACACACGCGCAGGCAUGCGAUGCCCCGCCCUACAUGCGGAGCUUGUAAUUAUCUUGAAAAUAGCAUCCCAGUUCAAGAUGAAAACAACACGGCUGACCUUCAAUAUUCAUGGUCGUCAUGACGACGCAAACAUAGAUGACCCCUGCUGAGUUGGCGUUUCCUAAUCAUGUGUGCGCGUGCAUGAGUGAAGCUGUGUUUGUGUGUUCGCGUGCGCGUGUCACCUGGACACUCGGCGUUCUUUCCCGGUCCACAUUCGAGCGCGGCGCUUCCUCCUCCUCCUCCUCCUCCUCGAGCAGUUGCGCUCGUGGCGGAGGUAAGGCGCAGCAGAAGGAGUAGUAGGAGGAAGGACGAUGAAGAUGAAAACGAAGCGGUAGAGGCCACAAGAGCCAUGAUGGAAGAGCACGGGUUGAUGUCAGAAGAGCAGGAAAAUCACGCGCUUUUGUCUCCAAAGCCGCACGAGAAGCGCAAAGAUGGCCUUCAGCGCCUCAUAUCGCCGACGAGGAGGAGCAGGAGGAGGAAGGUAGCACAAAGCGGAGCCCGCGGCGAACGGCGGCGACCCCCACGCAGACGCACGGCGACCCCCUCACAGCCCGUACUGCGCCUCCAUCCCCCACAAGGCCAAACAUCCAAACGAGCUUCGGCUUCUGCGGCUUCUCCGUCUUGCUCUUCUUGCGCUCUUCCGAGCGGUUUCAAGUUUUAGUCUUUUGAGAUCUUCUCGUGGUCGUCGUUCUUCUUCCACGAACGAAGCUCAUCAACAAAGGGCCGGCUCUGUCACGUGACCAGCGCAAGACCCCGCCCAUUAUUCCCCGAGAGACAGACCGCUUGGUGACGUCACUACGUUGCCGUGCUCGGUGUCCCGUGCCUACGUCACGUCUCGACGACGCACAACAAACAAUACCGUCGCUCUUUUUUUUUUUUAAAAAAUAAAUAAAUUUAGAUCUACGUAAUAGCAUUACAAAACUAUCACCAGAGUUGCUAUUAUUUUCGUAUCCAGGCAUUCAACCAAGUUGAAGGUUGCAAGCCAACUUGUUUUGCUUACAUAUAUAGAAUUUCCCAAAUAAAAUGACAUAAUUGCUAAAA